GCAGAGUAGCAGGCACCACACUUGGAAAAGCCGAGAAAGACGAGAAGAGAGAACAGCAUGACAAUUGACAAAGUAGUAGGAGAAGCUCUUCUCAGCGGAAUACAACACCACCUCCACCACCGCCUCUGCCGCGUCUCCGAUCUCCAGUCUUGGCGGGCUCGGGCAGCGGCGGAGAGCCCAAGAAGGGCUGCGAGAAGAAAAGGCUCGACGAGGUUGGUUUAGUCUUUGACGGACAACUUGGAAUAAGAAAGGAAGCUCAAGCUUAGUGGAGUCAUUAACCAGGUCAUGCAAAGAGACCAAUAGUCGUAUUUCUAUUGGUCUCUUUCUCCAUCUCUCAGAUCCGAGGGCAAUAAUCAAUCAGAACCUCUACAAUUUGACAAUCAAUUUAUUCAUGCAAGUAGCUCACCAGUCAUUCUCCAGAAGAAACAGCAUAACCGGAAAGUGAAGAGAGAGCCCAAGAUGUCACUGAUCAGCCAAGUACUACUUGUGGUCAAGAAAUCCAAGAAACAGCCAACCCUCUCCCAUUGCAUGAAGCUCAAACAAUGGUCAGUGCUCCUCAGUGUGCUUUUGAUGAUACAAGCGAGAGCUACCAAUCAAGUGGCACAAACCAGAGUCUAGCCCUGAUUGUCCGAGCAAUAAUGAACAAGCACGGGGAUAUUGCAAAAGAUUGCCCACUAAAGUCUGGGUAGAGCUGACUGAACUCAACAGCAGACACUUGUAUGGCUAUUUGAGAGCAAGAAGAGUUUACUUGGAUAAUCUAUUUGGACUGUUUCAUUCCUUUUGUUUCUGGCUCUUUAGCCAGUUCGUUGUUGCUCUGUUCUGUUUGGUUGGUGAUUAAAAAAAAUAAAGGUUUACGCUACUCCUACCCAUCAAGCAAUCUUCAAGAAACAUGGGUUUAUAUUUGAAGUGGCUUUAAUGAAUUUGUGGACAUGAUACAUUUGAUUUAAAAAUGCAAAAACUUAUAACAGAUAUGAAGCAGAACAUGGAAUUGGUUGAUGCAACCAAGAAAAGGAAAAAACAAUGGUCAGUGGUCCUCCUCAGUGUGCUUUUGAUUGAUGAUACAAGCAACAGUUACCAAUCUAGUGGCACAACUGUGAACAGAGUCUAGCCCCGAUCCUCCGAGCAACAAUCAACAAGCACGGGGAUAUUGCAAAGAUUGUCCACUAAUGUCCGGAUAGAACUGACUGAACUCAACAGCAACCACUUGUAUGGCUAUUUGAGAGCGAGAAGAGUUUACUCAGAUAAUCUAUGGUAUUAUAUGAUUGUUUUAUAUGGAUUUAACUUCCAAUAUCUUCAUUCAACUGUCAGUGAUUUUUUGGGGGUUGAUAUCUUCAGUGUCAUCAUGGAUUGUUUACCACAUUAUUUGUAUUAAAAUCGGGGUAAGAGCAUCUGCACAUUUUUUCAGUCAAACACUGGGAAAUGAUCUUUGUUCUAGUGCGACAAAUCAAGAGAAUCAAUAUUCGUAAAGAGACAGUUGCUCCUCGAUCAAUCUGGCAAGUCUAUUCAAUCAUAUUUCAAACUAGUGUGCAAGUAACAAGCAACAAUGGAUAACCAUAUGCCUUAGGUUGGCCUAUUAAGGUUGCCUAUUUGUUCAUGGAGGCUGCUGUGGUUACAGAUGAUAUGCAAUUGCUGCUUCAAUGGGGUCUUAGAGAAAAAUGUUGAAGUCAUGAAUAUUUUGGUCCUCCAUCCUAAAAGGCUUCACAUGAAGUUGCCCAAGGAUUCUCAAUAUAUUAUGACUUGAAAAUCUACUAUUGCACUGUGAAAGAGGCUGAAAACAUGGGUUUAAAUUUGAAGUGGCUUUAAAGAAUUUGUGGAGAUGAUACAUUUGAUUUUAAAAUGCAAAAACUUAUAACAGAUAUGAAGCAGAACAUGGAACUGGUUGAAAAAUAAAAAAGAUAUGGACUUGAAGAAAGUUGGGAUUGAAAGUAGUAGAUUCAUGAAGUAGAGGGUCUAUUGAGAUGGGAGACUUUGGAGGUUGAAAAGUGGAAUUGUGCCAUCAGACUGGCAGGCAGAUUCUGAUCUCUAAACUUUCUCUGGUGGGUGACAUUUUUGAUAGACAAAGAAACAGUCCUUAUGAGCGUCCUCAUCUCAUGAAUCAUCACUAGUCACAAAUUUCUCUCCUUUCCUGAUCAGGGUGUGCAAGUGAAGCUCUUCGUUGAUGACAUCUGUAAAAUGGGAAAACUUGAAGGUUUGAGGUAUACUUUUUGAGAUGAUUGCUUCACGUUGAAGGUGAGUUCUUCUUGCUAUGUUUGAGAAUUUUGAUAUGGUUAAGUAAUAAUCCUUGUCAUAGGGGAAUAACUGUAUGCUUGAAAAAAAAAUUUAACUAAAUAAAUCAAAUUAUGAACUCCUGGAAGAUAUCCUAUGUGGCUAUGCCAAACUUCCAAUUUUCCGAUUUAAAUUAACAAAAAUGAGAUUCUUUGUUUUUUUCCCCUGUUCUUUUAUUGCAAUGUGUGUGUUGUUAUGUUUUGAUGACAUAUAAGAGGCUGUCAGAAGCCCAGCUUAGGCCUUGCACCAGGUAGAAUUUCGAAGGAUUUAAUGUUAUGCCCUCUCUAAUAGCUUAAGUUUUUAGAGUAUCCAGGUAAAGUAUUGAAAUCUUACGGUCACUUUCAUAAUUAAAAUUGAAACACGUGUGGGACCACAAAAGUGAUUCUGUGAUGUUGUGGCCCGAAUUUCGUGCCGGUUUGCGUUGUGAUCGCUCACGACCCGUUGGAUAAGCUUUGUGUGGGCCUAAGCCCAUCAAAGCUCUGGGGGUUAGGGGGUUCGGGCCCGAGGAAAAUUUUUGACCUGAUUUUUUGCUCAUGGGUUAUGGACCCUAAUUAGUCUCUUGUAACCCGAUAUAUUAGGGUGAUUAGGGUUUGGACUGGUGUAAGAGAAAGAAUUUAAAAUUCGUAUAGAAACAGAGUGGGGUUGAAAACUUGUAAUCUCCGAUUUUACAUAUAGUGAAACUUUCGCCGGCUCUUUUACAUAUAGUGAAACUUUCGCCGGCUCUUCAUCGUAAACGUAGGCUGCUGCUGAACCACAUAUAAAUUUUUAUGUUCUAUGUGUGGUGUGUUUAUUUUUCUGUCGUAAUUCUUGAUUCUAUCUUGGGUUCGCUGCGUUUGUUGUAACAGAUUUUUUGUAUGAUUUACUAAGAAUCAUCCGUGCACCAAUUCAUUGUUUAUUAGUUUUAUUUGAUACUAGGGACACCAAUGUUCAAUUAUUAUAAAGCUGAUGAUUGUUUACAGAACGUGGAAUUAUUGUUAACACUUCCUAAUUUGCACCAAUUGCAGUCGAUGACAAUAAUUGACAAAUUUGAUGUUGUUGGAAUUUUCCGGGUAAUUGUCUUUUUUAUAAUUUGUGAGAUCAAUUUGAUAUAGAUCCCGUGAUAAAUGGCUUACUUCUCUUUAGUCUUUACUGCCCUUAUAAAGAAAAUAACCUGCUACAUCUGGUUAAGGGGUGAUUCUACGUCACUGUAAAUUGAAUCAGUUUUUUUUUUUUUUUUUUUUUUUUUUUUUUUUUUUUUUUCGGGUAAAUAUUUUACAUGGCAUUUGGCAUGUCAAUACGGGAAAUUACUGGAUGGAAAUAUUAAAGUAAGUAAAUUGUUGAAAUCAUCACAUACCCUUAAAAUCAUAUGUGAAACACAAUGUUCUCAUUUGCAUUAGAUAUCUAAAGGGCCAAGUAAUUUUUGGUUCUAUCUAUGAGACUCAAAUUAGCAAAUGGGACUAACGUAUCCUAUAGAAGCCCAGGAUGGAUGAGGGGUAGGAGAUAUAGUUGGUACUUGACAGUGCUUACAUAGUUAUGUAU